rnacentral:rRNA from 1 species
CAGUAGCCGCGGGAAUACGUAGGGUGCAAGCGUUAAUCGGAAUUACUAGGCGUAAAGCGUGCGCAGGCGGUUAUAUAAGACAGAUGUGAAAUCCCCGGGCUCAACCUGGGAACUGCAUUUGUGACUGUAUAGCUAGAGUACGGCAGAGGGGGAUGGAAUUCCGCGUGUAGCAGUGAAAUGCGUAGAUAUGCGGAGGAACACCGAUGGCGAAGGCAAUCCCCUGGGCCUGUACUGACGCUCAUGCACGAAAGCGUGGGGAGCAAACAGGAUUAGAUACCCCUGUAGUCCCUGUCUCUUAUAC